rnacentral:piRNA from 1 species
GCCAUUCAUCUUGUGCNGUUUUGGGAA